rnacentral:tRNA from 1 species
CGGAGUGUAGCACAGUGGGUAAGGAACUGGGCUUGUAAUCGAAAGGUCGCAGGUUCAAUUCCCGGAGCUCCGU